GAUGAACGCUGGCGGCGUGCUUAACACAUGCAAGUCGAACGAAGCAUUUGCGACAGAUUUUUUCGGAAUGAAGUUGCUUAUGACUGAGUGGCGGACGGGUGAGUAACGCGUGGGUAACCUGCCUUGUACUGGGGGAUAGCAGCUGGAAACGGCUGGUAAUACCGCAUAAGCGCACAAUGUUGCAUGACAUGGUGUGAAAAACUCAGGUGGUAUAAGAUGGACCCGCGUCUGAUUAGCUAGUUGGUGAGAUAACAGACCACCAAGGCGACGAUCAGUAGCAGACCUGAUAGGGUGACCGGCCACAUUGGGACUGAGACACGGCCCAGACUCCUACGGGAGGCAGCAGUGGGGAAUAUUGCACAAUGGAGGAAACUCUGAUGCAGCGACGCCGCGUGAGUGAAGAAGUCAUUCGUUAUGUAAAGCUCUAUCAGCAGGGAAGAUAGUGACGGUACCUGACUAAGAAGCUCCGGCUAAAUACGUG
rnacentral:rRNA from 1 species